GCGGAAGGAUCAUUAACGCGCAGGCCGGAGGCUGGCCCCCCACGAUAGGGACCGACGUUCCAUCAGGGGUGAGCAGACGUGCGCCGGCCGUACGCCCCCAUUCUUGUCUACCUCACCCGGUUGCCUCGGCGGGCCGCGCUCCCCCUGCCAGGGAGAGCCGUCCGGCGGGCCCCUUCUGGGAGCCUCGAGCCGGACCGCGCCCGCCGGAGGACAGACACCAAGAAAAAAUUCUCUGAAGAGCUGUCAGUCUGAGCGUUUAGCAAGCACAAUCAGUUAAAACUUUCAACAACGGAUCUCUUGGUUCCGGCA
rnacentral:misc_RNA from 1 species